rnacentral:rRNA from 1 species
GACGAACGCUGGCGGCGUGCCUAAUACAUGCAAGUCGAACGCUGUCGAGAACGGGUGAGUAACGCGUAGGUAACUGCCUUAUCGCGGGGGCUAACUAUUGGAAACGAUAGCUAACACCGCCUAUUGUGAGAUGGACCUGCGUUGUAUUAGCUAGUUGGUGGGGUAAAGGCUCACCAAGCCGCCGAUACAUAGCCGACCUGAGAGGGUGAUCGGCCACACUGGGACUGAGACACGGCCCAGACUCCUACGGGAGGCAGCAGUAGGGAAUUUUGGACAAUGGGGGAAAGCCUGAUCCAGCCAUGCCGCGUGAGCGAUGAAGGCCUUCGGAUUGUAAAGCUCUUUUGGCAGGAAAGCGGUACCUGCAGAGUAAGCACCGGCUAACUACGUGCCAGCAGCCGCGGUAAUUC